GACGCUUUGACCACCUGGAAUGGAGUGUUGGCGGAUGACCUCACGGCAGCUCUCAGAGAGGAAGCCAUGUGAAAUCCAUUGACGGCAGAAAAAGGCUGGCCUGGCACACUUUCCUGAAACUAAGAACACUGUAUUACCAAAGAACAUGUCAGCAGUUGGAAAGUUUAAGGUUGGUCUCCCUCUAGUUCUCACUGUGGAUGACAUCAGACAGCAUCAUCAUGUGCCAAAUUCACACCUGUAGGACACGGUAUGCUUCACUUUUGUGUCGCUCUUAUUGAUUCGGCGACCUCCAUAGAAUCCAGGGCCUGACCUUAGUGGAACCUGAGGAAUGAGGAGCUGGUUGGCAGGUGAGGAGAUGAACAGGAGUGGACGCAUGAAUCCUGAAUACGAGGCGGCACUCCGUCCUCUCUGGCAUCGAGGCCAACCCCUCAAACAGGAAUGUGCAACCAUAUCACACCCUGCAAGGAAAGAGCAACCUGAGACGUUCUCCAUAUAGACCACCGUAAUCAAGGAUGUAUUUAUCUUUGCUGCAAAGGAUGAGGUGAGAUCUGAUCCAGGAGUAACGUUUUUAUUUAACCAGGAACAAAUCUACGUAUAUACAGUAGCAGUAUGCAGAUAAAAUGGGGAGAAAAAAUAAGUGUAGAUAACAUGACAA